GACGAACGCUGGCGGCGUGCUUAACACAUGCAAGUCGAACGGAAAGGCCCUGCUUUUGUGGGGUGCUCGAGUGGCGAACGGGUGAGUAACACGUGAGUAACCUGCCCUUGACUUUGGGAUAACUUCAGGAAACUGGGGCUAAUACCGGAUAGGAGCUCCUGCUGCAUGGUGGGGGUUGGAAAGUUUCGGCGGUUGGGGCUGGACUCGCGGCUUAUCAGCUUGUUGGUGGGGUAGUGGCUGACCAAGGCUUUGACGGGUAGCCGGCCUGAGAGGGGGACCGGCCACAUUGGGACUGAGAUACGGCCCAGACUCCUACGGGAGGCAGCAGGGGGGAAUAUUGCACAAUGGGCGGAAGCCUGAUGCAGCAACGCCGCGUGCGGGAUGACGGCCUUCGGGUUGUAAACCGCUUUCGCCUGUGACGAAGCGUGAGUGACGGUAAUGGGUAAAGAAGCACCGGCUAACUACGUG
rnacentral:rRNA from 1 species